CUUCACUUUGUCUAACCAGACACUUCUCCGGGCGGAAGUUCAAUAACGGAAGCGGAAGUGAGCACGCCGUAGACUGUGGGUCUGAAAUCUGGUUGACGCAGUCUGCGGCCACUGCUGAGCUUUGGGUAGGCCAGGCUGGGGAAUCGGCCCUGGAUCUCUGCUGUCGCAUCUCCCUACCCCAGACUCCUUCCAGCAUCAAGUCCACUAUCCUCGCCGUGGCCACGCCCCUCCGCAUCCUGGCUUCUCUGCGUCCUGGCUGUUCCUCCCUGGGUGGAGGGGAGAGGCAGCCAUCCACUUGCAGGUGGAGCGGGGUGGAGACUCUUCCUGAGCCCAGCUGCAGGACACUGAGGACCAGCGAGAUUCAUAGGACCCAAUUAUGGGUGUAAGAGGUUUGCAGGGGUUUGUGGGGAGUACGUGCCCACACAUAUGUACCAUAGUCAAUAUCCACGAGCUGGCAGAGCGUCACCGAAACAAGUACCCUGGAUGUACGCCUACCAUCGUGGUGGACGCCAUGUGCUGUCUCCGAUACUGGUACACAGCAGAGUCGUGGGUCUGCGGCGGCCAGUGGAGAGAAUACUACUGUGCUUUGAGAAAUUUUGUUGCAGCCUUCACCUCUGCCGGCAUCAAGUUGAUAUUCUUCUUUGAUGGCAUGGUGGAGCCGGGGAAGCGAGAUGAGUGGGUAAAGCGUAGACUCAAAAACAACCGGGAGAUAUCCAAGAUUUUUCACUACAUCAAGUCAAAAAGAGACCAGCCAGGCAGAAACAUGUUCUUCAUUCCCUCUGGGCUGGCCAUAUUCACACGGUUCGCCCUGAAGACACUGGGCCAGGAGACUUUCUGUUCAUUACAGGAGGCAGACUACGAGGUGGCUUCUUAUGGCCUCCAGCACAACUGUCUGGGGAUCCUUGGGGAAGACACUGACUACUUAAUUUAUGACACUUGCCCCUACUUUUCAAUUGGCGAUCUCUGCCUAGAGAGUCUCCAAACCAUCAUGCUCUGUCGAGAGAAGCUCUGUGAGAGCCUGGGCCUCCGUGUGGCAGACCUUCCUCUUCUGGCCUGUCUGCUUGGCAAUGACAUCACUCCAGAGAGCAUGUUUGAAAGCUUUCGGUACAAGUGCUUGUCAUCCUAUGCUUCUGUGAAAGAGAAUGCUGGCAAAAAAGGAAAUAUUAUCCUAGCUGUCUCAGACUAUAUCUCCAAAGUUCUUCAUUUGUAUCAAGGUGAGAAGAAGAUAGAAGAGAUGCUACCCUUGGGGCCAAACAAAGCUCUCUUUUAUAAAGGAGUAACCUCAUAUCUUUUGCCAGGGCAGAAAUCUCCAUGGUUAGUUCAAAAACCCAAAGGCAUGAUAACAGACAAACAGCAAAUGGUGAGUUUAAAUCCCGAAUCCAAGCAAGAAGUCCCUAUGUGUAUUGAUCCUGAAUUCAAGCAAGAAGUUCCUGUGUGCACUAAUCCCGAGUCCAUGCAAGAAGUUCCCAUGUGUAUGGAUCCUGAGCCCAACCAGGAAGCUUCCAUGUGCACAGAUCCCGAAUCCAAACAAGAAGUUCCCAUGUGCACAGACUCCGAAUCCAAGCCAGAAGUUUCCCAAUAUACAAACCCAGAGAGCAAGCAAAAAUUACCUUCAGGAAUAGACACUGAAUUUAACCUAGAAGCACUCAUGUGUACACACCCUGAAUUUAAACAAGAAGAUGUCAUGGAUAUGGAACCUGAAAUAAAGCAAGUAACCAUGGUUUCCGAGUCUGAGAUCUUAAAGGCAAGUGACUGUGCCUCCCCCACCUCGGUCCACAAUGUCGUGAUUGAAAGCGUACCUACUAACGGGUUUGAUCGUGAGAAGAGGACUGUAGGAGGAUGCAGACGAGAAACCUCUUGAGUCUAGUUAGGGAUUUAUGAAACCAUUUCAUAGGUACAUCUGAUACUGCCUUGUGAAUAGGAUGGGAAAGAGCUGUAGGAUUCUAGGAGAGACUGUUAAGGGUUAAAGUGUAAAGAGAAGGCUUCCCCCAUGGAGUCAGGCCCUUGGGAGGACAACAUUUGCUUUGAAUAAGUCAAAUGUGGGGUUGUAGGAACCCUACAGAUGCAGUGAUUAAAAUUAGUGUCACUGUGAGGCAUACUGGUAAACUAUCCAGGCAGGAGCCUAGGGAUCAAGGAGAGGGAAACCUGGAAACAAUAUGGUGCAGCCACACUCUAAAAGCUGUAAAUGCUAGGAGCUUGGGCGACUGUAAGUUAACAUUACAUAAGUAUCAAAGAGCGCAGUUUCACACUAGACUCGGGCUUUAUCUUUUUCUCAGUCGACUCUUACAACAGCCCUGUGAAAUAGGUACUUUUGUAGUCAUGCCUAACUCUGCCAUCAUGGCUUCACUCAUGCUAAGCAUAUGCUUAACCCUUGAGCCGGAUCCACAGUCCUGUUAUCUUGGUCAUACAGAUAAGGUAGAUAUCCACAGGAGUGGCCAGAAAACAAAACCAAACAACAAAAAAGUCAGAAGUGAAAGAGGGAAUUAAAAAUUAGAAGUGGGGCUGGAAAGAUGGUUCAGUGGUUAAAAGCACUGGCUACUCUUCCAGAGGACCUGUGUUCAAUUCCCAGCACCUGUAGCAGCUCACAAGUCUCUGUAACUCCAGUUCCACCUGUGCACAUGAAAAAAAUAAAUACAUUUUCAAAAAAAAUUAGAAGUAAUUUUGCUGUUAAAAAAUAUCACCGAGAAAUCCAUGAACAUUUAUAUUGGAGAUUGCAUUAAAAGUGUUUCUCAUUCUUUUCUUUGUUUUUUUUAUUUGUUUGUUUGUUUUGUUUGUUUUGUUUUGUUUUGUUUUUUUAAGACAGGGCCUCUCUAUGUAGCCCUGCCUGUCCUGGAACUUACUCCAUAGACCAGGCUAACUAACCUUGAACUCACAGAGAUCUGCCUGCCUCUGCCUCCCGAGUGCUGAGAUUAAAAGUGUGCACCACCACCAUUCAGGCUGGCUUCUCAUUUUCAAGGGAAAGGCACACCAAUUGGUUGCUCAGUGCCAAAUGGUCUCCCUGAAAACAUACAUGUUGCCAGGAUGCAUCACGUCCACUCAGAAAGCUACCUAGUGUACAACAUUCUGAGCAGUGGGGAGAUAGAAUGCAGUAACACCCUGGAGGAUGAGCUGGACCAAGCCCUCCCGAGCCAAGCCUUUAUCUACCGCCCAGUCCGGCAGCGCGUCUACGCACUCCUACUCGGGGACUGGAAAGAUGGAGCCAGCACUGGCCCAGUGGUCAAGGAGUGGUUUGUGUACCCCGGUAACUCCCUGAAGCACCCAGACCUAGUUAGGCCUCUGCAGAUGACCGUUCAAGGGGGAACACCUAGCUUGGAAGUUCUGUGGCUGAGCCAAGAGCCAGCAGUGCAGGCCCAGCGCCUGGACACCUUGCUAGCCUGCUUCAACCUUUCCUCCUCAAGAGAAGAGCUGCAAGCAGUUGAGAGCCCGUUGAGAGCGCUGUGCUGCCUCCUGAUCUACCUCUUUGUCCAGGUGGACACUCUUUCCCUGGAAGAUCUGCAUGCAUUUAUCGCUCAGGCCUUGUGCCUCCAAGGAAAAUCAACCUCCCAGCUCAUGCACUUACAGCUGGAUUACAUUAACUCCAGAGCUGUGCAGCUGGGAUCCCUCCUCGUCCGUGGCCUCACCACAUUGGUACUAGUCAAUAGCGCAUGUGGCUUCCCCUGGACAACAAGUGAGUUUAUGCCCUGGAAUGUGUUUGAUGGCAAGCUUUUCCAUCAGAAGUACCUGCAGUCUGAAAAGGGAUAUGCCGUGGAAGUUCUUUUGGAACAAAAUAGAUCGUGGCUCACCAAGUUCCACAACCUGAAGGCAGUGGUCUGCAAGGCCUGCUCCAAGGAGAACCGGCGCAUCGUAGGCAGAACGCAUUGGGACUCUCCUUACACAGGGAGGCAAGGGAGACAGGGCUACAGCUCCUACAGGACAGACUCCACACAUGGCCAUUCUGGGCAGUCAUGGAGAAACCAGGGUUCAGGGGGCAGACAGCAUGAGCGUAACCACUGGAGAAGAUACUAGAUGCUGUACAGAAGAGUGUGGAAACAGGAUCAAUGUCCAGACUCUGCCCUCCGGUCUCAGCAACAAGGACAGCAACUGGGGCAACCCUUUAAAGGAAGGAAAAUUGCUUUUCAGAGGUUUCUCCUACACAAACUAUAAAAAUAUCCCAUUGGUUUGUUUCAGAGGUUGCUCCUGACUCCAUGAUCCAGAACACUUGACACUAUCAUUGAGAAUGCUCUCCUGACCUUAGCAGGAGUCUAACUCCAAACAUUUUCUUACUAUUAAAUUGUGAAAAUGUUUCCUCAAGUCAUUAGUCUUUGAACUCAUGAUGUCUUCUUAUUUUCCUGUUACUGUGAAAAGGCACUGUGAACAAAGCAACUUACAGAAGAGAGCAUUUGAUUUGGGUCUUAGAGUUCCAUAGGGUGGUAGAGCCUCGGACCAUCAUGUUGGGGUAUGUGACAGGAGCCAGGCGAGGACGAGCCAACUGGGAAUGGCUCAGGGUUUUGAAACUUCAAAGCCCACCCCCCAAGUGACACACCUCCAUCAGCAAAGCCACACCUCCUCCAGUAAGGCCACUCCUCCUAGUCCUUCCCACCAACUGGAGACCAAGCUUUCAAACAUACUAGCUUAUGGGGCCAUUCUCAUUCAGACCACCAACCAUGAUAUCUAAUAGCUAUGCAAUCUGUCAGAAAUUACUUUUUCAUUAGAAAAUCUAACAAAAGUAAGUAUUCAUCUAUUUUUUUUUCUUGAUCCACAAAGUAUUUGGAUAGAAAAAAAAAAGCAACUAAAUAAAUUCUUGCUCUCUUGUGGGCGAGUUGGUUCUGCUUGGAGGAAACCUGGCUCAGCGGUUAAGAACAGGGUCUGCUCUUCCAGAUUCCCCUCACCCACACGGUGGCUCACAACUAACUGUCUGAAACUCCAGUUCCAGGGGAUCGAAAGCCUCUUCUGGCCUCUGUGAGAGGCAGACACACAGUGAUGCCCAGACAUGCACACAGGCAAAACACCCAUAAAGAUGAAAUAAAUAAGUUUAAAAAAAAAAAGAAUUUUUUUUUUUAAAAGAAGCAUAGUGGGUUAAGCUUAAAAAGUAAGAUCCUCUUUGAGGUUCUUAUCCAUCUCCACUGGGGAUCCAAGAGUAUCUGUGCCUGUCCAGGGCCCUUAUGGCCCUGCCGUAUCUCUGGGGACACUGAGUUCCGUCAGGAGAUGCAAGCACUUUGGUCACUGGAAGAUGUAUCCUUUCAGUGCUCCUGUCUAAGAUUUUAAUAACGCUUCUAAAAAUGUACCUUGUCACCUUUACGCUGACAGUUUUCCAGACCACUGGCUCAACCAUGCUGUGCAGAGAGAGGCCUUGCGUUUCUCCUUGAGAUUCUUGUGUUUACCAGAAAGGUAUCUCGCCUGCAUUUGAACAUGGUUGUAUUUGUUCAGCUUCCUUCUGCUCCUGCAGGACUUAAGCAUAGUGUGUCUGCAGAGCUUGUAGCUGCCAUGACUUUGCUGCCUAGUUUGGCUCUUCUGGUCCUUCCCUCGAAUACCGUCCUCUUCAAACACUGCUGCCGUUAGAAAUCCUGUUUCCUUGCUGUCUACUUGUGUAACUUUUAAUUCAGAUUCUGAUCUCUUAAGUUGAAAGUCUAUUUCUAUGAAAGUUGUUUUCCGUCAUGGAAACUGCAUCCUGACACUUGUCAAUAAAAUGCAUGAGUACGUCAGUCACAAGUUUAAAUAGGCCACUGUGUUGAUGGAAUAUUUAUCACCUUUAGAGCUUUCCCAGUGACAGCAUUGCUUACGCUGUUUCCCAGUCAAGUCUUGGGAUAGAAUUUCCACAUAUACAAUAAAAUAAAAAUACAUUUUUAAACUCA